UACAGAGGUCCCAAGCGUUGUUCGGAUUCACUGGGCGUAAAGGGUGCGUAGGUGGCCAGGUAAGUUCGGUGUGAAAGCCCGGAGCUUAACUCCGAAAUGGCAUUGAAUACUAUCUGGCUAGAGGGUCGGAGGGGAGACUGGAAUUCUCGGUGUAGCAGUGAAAUGCGUAGAUAUCGAGAGGAACACCAGUGGCGAAGGCGAGUCUCUGGACGACUCCUGACACUGAGGCACGAAAGCCAGGGGAGCAAACAGG
rnacentral:rRNA from 1 species